rfam:Pan troglodytes isolate Yerkes chimp pedigree #C0471 (Clint) chromosome 7, whole genome shotgun sequence.
GCCGGGCAUGGUGGUGCAUACCUGUAAUCCCAGCUACUUGGGAGGCUGAGGCAGCAGAAUCGCUUGAGCCCAGGAGUUGGAGGUUGCAGUGAGCCAAGAUCGCACCACUGCACUCCAGCCUGGGCACCAGAGUGAGACCCCGUCCCCU